rnacentral:rRNA from 1 species
AGCAUCUAAGCGGGAAGCCUGCUUCGAGAUGAGUAUUCCCACCAACUUGAUUGGUUAAGGCUCCCAGUAGACGACUGGGUUGAUAGGCCAGAUGUGGAAGCCCGGUAACGGGUGGAGCUGACUGGUACUAAUAGGCCGAGGGCUUGUCCU